AAUUCUCAACCUUACUAGCUUUGUUGCUAGUCUGGCUUGGAUGUGGGGGUUUUUGCAGGCUUUCACAAGUCAGCUCCCCUGAAAUGCAUUAGCGGUACCCUUGUGGUAAACGGCUAUUGGUGUGAUAAUUAUCUACGCCAUUCGGUCGCCCACAUCUUAUAAGGGUUAUGCUGCUUCUAAUCGUCCAUUUACUUGGACUAUUUGGAAAUACAAUGACGA
rnacentral:misc_RNA from 1 species